GGGCGUGUGGCUCAGUUGGUAGAGCGUUCGCUUAGCAUGCCCUCGUGUAUGCGAAAGGUCCUGGGUUCGAUUCCCAGCUCGUCCA
rnacentral:tRNA from 2 species